GAUGAACGCUGGCGGCGUGCCUAAUACAUGCAAGUCGAGCGAACAGACGAGGAGCUUGCUCCUCUGACGUUAGCGGCGGACGGGUGAGUAACACGUGGAUAACCUACCUAUAAGACUGGGAUAACUUCGGGAAACCGGAGCUAAUACCGGAUAAUAUAUUGAACCGCAUGGUUCAAUAGUGAAAGACGGUUUUGCUGUCACUUAUAGAUGGAUCCGCGCCGCAUUAGCUAGUUGGUAAGGUAACGGCUUACCAAGGCAACGAUGCGUAGCCGACCUGAGAGGGUGAUCGGCCACACUGGAACGUAGACACGGUCCAGACUCCUACGGGAGGCAGCAGUAGGGAAUCUUCCGCAAUGGGCGAAAGCCUGACGGAGCAACGCCGCGUGAGUGAUGAAGGUCUUCGGAUCGUAAAACUCUGUUAUUAGGGAAGAACAAAUGUGUAAGUAACUAUGCACGUCUUGACGGUACCUAAUCAGAAAGCCACGGCUAACUACGUG
rnacentral:rRNA from 1 species